UGGUUCAGUUGGUAGAGCAUGGUGUUUGCAACGCCAGGGUUGUGGGUUCGAUUCCCAC
rfam:Salmo salar isolate Sally breed double haploid chromosome ssa01, whole genome shotgun sequence.